AUUGAACGCUGGCGGCAGGCCUAAUACAUGCAAGUCGAACGCCCCGCAAGGGGAGUGGCGCACGGGUGAGUAACGCGUGGGAAUGUGCCCUUAGGUGCGGAACAACGUUUGGAAACGAACGCUAAUACCGCAUAAUAUCUCCGGAUCAAAGAUUUAUCGCCUAGGGAUCAGCCCGCGUUGGAUUAGCUAGUUGGUGGGGUAACGGCCCACCAAGGCGACGAUCCAUAGCUGGUCUGAGAGGAUGAUCAGCCACACUGGGACUGAGACACGGCCCAGACUCCUACGGGAGGCAGCAGUAAGGAAUAUUGGACAAUGGGGGCAACCCUGAUCCAGCCAUGCCGCGUGAGUGAUGAAGGCCUUCGGGUUGUAAAGCUCUUUUAGGUGUGACGAUGAUGACGGUAACACCAGAAAAAGCUCCGGCUAACUUCGUGCCAGCAGCCGCAGUAACAC
rnacentral:rRNA from 1 species